AUUUGGGAAAGUACCUUGUCAGCGUUUCUUUUUGUCCAAAAAGUUUCCUUUUCACUUUCAUCACAAUUUGGAAACUCCAUAUUAGAUAAAGCUUGUAGAUGUUCUUGAAUUGAGUUAUACUUCAAAAGAUGAGCCUCAUCCUCGUGGAGAGAUUUGUGUAGUUAACAGGAAGGAGGUAAUUUAUGAUUACUAUUGGAUGAUUACUGGUGUUAUUGGAGUAUGGUCACCUGGAGGCAAUUUGAAGAUUAUUGAAAGGGUUGAAUAUUAUAAAUGCUUAUUGAGGACAGGAAGAAGAAUAAUGUAUUAAAGUUGGGUUCUCACUUGUAACGUUUGUGUCAUGUCAGUAUUGAAUGAGUACGAUGUUUAAUAGCUAGAUAAUUGGGCUUGUUAAUUGGACGACUGCUGGAUGGGGGAAUAUGGGUGGUGGUGCUACACAACUCCUUAUGCCUUUGAUCUAUGAUAGAAUUUAUAAAGUUGGGGAAAUUCCAUUUACUGCUCGGAGAAACGCGUUAUUUAUUCCUGGUUGGCUUCAUUUUAUUAUGGGAAUUUUGGUUUUAACUCUUGAUCAAGACUUGCUUGAUGGUAACCUUGCUUCUUUACAGAAGAAAGGUGAUGUUACUAAAGAUAAGUAAUCCAAGAUUUGAUUUGAAGCUUCACACGGCUGGAAUCUUCGCUGCAAUGUUUGGUAAGGUAAACCUAUUAACGCAACCAUUUGGAGGAUGGAUAUCAGAUUUUGCAGCCAAACAUUUUGGGAUGAGAGGCAGAUUAUGGAGCCUAUGGAUAUUACAAACAGUUGGUGGAGUUUUUUGCUUACUUCUUGGAAGGGCUAACACACUUCCCGAUGGUGAUUGUUUGGAUGAUCAUAUUCUCUAUAGGCGCACAAGCAGCAUGUGGUGAAACGUUUGGUAUUAUUAAAGUUGGCGCAGGGUGAAUACAUUGCUCCUCAGAAAAUUGAGAAUUUUAUGCUUAAUGCAGAGUUAUUGCACAAUGCUAUGUCUAUGGUGAACAGAUAAUACAAUUUUUUUAUGGAAUCAUUAAACAAUGUCCAUUACUUAUUGUUGCAUCAUCACAUGUGAUAGGUUUAAUUCCUCAUUAGUAGUAGUUGUUUGUGUAAAGACAGAUAUCUUGAAGGAACAGGCAUCAACUGAGAAAAUCA